rnacentral:rRNA from 1 species
GACAGAGGUGCCGAGCGUUAGGCGGAAUCACUGGGCUUAAAGCGUGUGUAGGCGGACCGUUAAGUACCUUGUGAAAUCCCACGGCUCACCCGUGGAACUGCUGGGCAUACUGGGCGUCUUGGGCCAACUAGGGGCAGCCGGAACAAGCGGUGGAGCGGUGAAAUGCGUAGAUAUCGCUUGGAACGCCGAAGGUGAAAACAGGCUGCUGGGGUUGCGCCGACGCUGAGACACGAAAGCCAGGGGAGCAAACGGG